AUAGGAGACAAACAUACAUGAGACGCAAAGAAUAGGAGACAAACAUAUAUGAAAUCCUUCAAGCUGCGUUCACGGUGAUGGACAGAGGUAGGAAAAAAAUGAUCGAAUGACCUCUUUUAUACGUGAUUCUACGACGAUGUGAUGGGCGUGGAAUUCUUGGACACUGGACAGUUGUCAUGUAUUAUUGGAUGCUCCACAUGUGGGCAUGGCACAGCGGCAAACUGUUGUAUUUGAUUCUGGCGUUGUUUGAAGGUUCAAACGAUGCAUUCAUGGCCCUUUGAUCAUCUGUUGGAAUCUCAGAAUGAAACACCUGUGCAGGCCGUCCGUUGCAGCAAAGACACCCGACAGUGUAUAAAUGGACAUUUUGUCAUACUGUCGAGACAGUUACAUCGAUAUUACUGCUGCGAAAAUGGCACAUUUCUCGUCUCCUGCAAGGUUUAUCAGCAUAGAUGACCCCGAGGUGGACUCCAUCAGGAGCCAGUGCCAGGUGUUGAGUUAUUCAUGCAGAGAUCGCAGUGUGCCCGGGGUUGAAUGAAAUCAACAAUGUGUGGAGGUGAGCCAUGACAUUAUGGCCUAUGUGACCAGGGAGAUGGAGCAGAA